UUUCCGUAGGUGAACCUGCGGAAGGAUCAUUCAUAAUAAGUGUUUUACUGCACUUUUUAAAAAUAGUACUCACCUUGCGUGCAAUGUUGUGUUUCCUUUCGGAGAAACACCUACACCAAUCUAUAACCUUGAACCACUUUGUCUGAAAAACUAUUAUGAAUACUUAAUUCAAAAUACAACUUUCAACAACGGAUCUCUUGGCUCUC
rnacentral:misc_RNA from 1 species